UGGUAGCUCAGCUGGAUAGAGCAUCUGGCUACGAACCAGAAGGCCGGGGGUUCGACUCCCUCCCAG
rnacentral:tRNA from 1 species